rnacentral:lncRNA from 1 species
GUGGAGAACACCAACAUGCCACUUUUUUAUUUUGAUUAAAUUAUAAUAUUCUAUCUCUUUGUAUGCUUGAAUUUACUUUGAUCGUGUUCGGCAAGGUGAUUCUAGGAUUUUGGAUUUGGCUCGAUAGUUUUAUUUGAUAAAGCUAUUGAUUUGAGUAUUUUAAAAAAUUUUAAAAAUUAUUUUUGUUAUGUGGCCGAAACUC